rnacentral:rRNA from 1 species
AGAGUUUGAUCCUGGCUCAGGACGAACGCUGGCGGCGUGCUUAACACAUGCAAGUCGAACGGAAAGGCCCCCACCAUUUUUUGGUGGGGGUGCUCGAGUGGCGAACGGGUGAGUAACACGUGGGUGAUCUGCCCUGUACUUCGGGAUAAGCUUGGGAAACUGGGUCUAAUACCGGAUAGGACCAUGGUUUAGUGUCUCAUGGUGGAAAGAUUAUUGUUUUGGUGCAGGAUGAGCUCGCGGCCUAUCAGCUUGUUGGUGGGGUAAUGGCCUACCAAGGCGUCGACGGGUAGCCGGCCUGAGAGGGUGGACGGCCACAUUGGGACUGAGAUACGGCCCAGACUCCUACGGGAGGCAGCAGUGGGGAAUAUUGCACAAUGGGCGCAAGCCUGAUGCAGCGACGCCGCGUGGGGGAUGACGGCCUUCGGGUUGUAAACUCCUUUCGUUAGGGACGAAGCCAUACUUUUUGGGUGUGGUGACGGUACCUUUGUUAAGAAGCACCGGCUAACUACGUGCCAGCAGCCGCGGUAAUACGUAGGGUGCGAGCGUUGUCCGGAAUUACUGGGCGUAAAGAGCUCGUAGGUGGUUUGUUGCGUCGUCUGUGAAAUUCCGGGGCUUAACUUCGGGGUGGCAGGCGAUACGGGCAUAACUAGAGUGCUGUAGGGGAGACUGGAAUUCCUGGUGUAGCGGUGGAAUGCGCAGAUAUCAGGAGGAACACCGAUGGCGAAGGCAGGUCUCUGGGCUGUUACUGACGCUGAGGAGCGAAAGCGUGGGGAGCGAACAGGAUUAGAUACCCUGGUAGUCCACGCCGUAAACGUUGGGCACUAGGUGUGGGGGGCCUUUUCCGGGUCUUCCGCGCCGUAGCUAACGCAUUAAGUGCCCCGCCUGGGGAGUACGGCCGCAAGGCUAAAACUCAAAGGAAUUGACGGGGGCCCGCACAAGCGGCGGAGCAUGCGGAUUAAUUCGAUGCAACGCGAAGAACCUUACCAAGGCUUGACAUGCACGGCGGCACUGCAGAGAUGUGGUGGCAUUUAGUUGGUCGUGUGCAGGUGGUGCAUGGUUGUCGUCAGCUCGUGUCGUGAGAUGUUGGGUUAAGUCCC